AACACUGUUAACCUGCGGUACCUGCGGAAGGAUCAUUACCGAGUUUACAACUCCCAAACCCCUGUGAACAUACCUAUACGUUGCCUCGGCGGAUCAGCCCGCGCCCUGUAAAAAGGGACGGCCCGCCCGAGGACCCUAAACUCUGUUUUUAGUGGAACUUCUGAGUAAAACAAACAAAUAAAUCAAAACUUUCAGCAACGGAUCU
rnacentral:misc_RNA from 1 species